CAACUAAAAAACAAAUAAAGUAAAUGGGAGAAAUUACUUAAAUUUAAAAGUAAAGUAAAUUAUUUAACAAGGCACUCCAAUAUACAGAGGAAGAGCGUCAGAUACGUAAACAAAUAUUAGCACAUUACUCAAAGGUAAUGCUGCUUGUAAAUCCUACCAAAGCUGUUACUGUACCAUAUACAAUUUGGAAUAUCAUGACAUCACGCGGCUUAUUGCUUAUUGCUUACAGCUGAUUAGGUCUAUUAAAUUAUGCGAUAUGGAGUCAAUGUCGUCACUAAAAUACUAGACCUGUCGGAUUCUGUAUCUGAUGUUUUUUUUUCGCAUUUCAUACGAAUUACUAGUGCGAUGGAUGUUAAAAAACUCAUUGAUGAAAUCGAAAUUUAUUUGACAAAAUGUAUGCGAUAAAAAGAAGGAAAUUAUUUUUAAUCCAUUUAAAUGUGGGCUUAAAAUUUCGAAUUUAGAUAAAAAAAGACUUAAAUAGAAAGUAAUAUUAACGGGAAGUUUAACCAAAUAUGCAAAUAUAUGUUACAACCUCUCUAAUGACAAAUGAAGAGUGAUUGUGAAAAUAAAAAAGAACAAUUUAAUUUACAAAGGAAAAAUAUAUAACUGAACGACAUUACUGAC